UACGGAGGGGGCUAGCGUUGUUCGGAAUUACUGGGCGUAAAGCGCACGUAGGCGGCUUUGCAAGUUAGAGGUGAAAGCCCGGGGCUCAACUCCGGAAUUGCCUUUAAAACUGCAUCGCUAGAAUUGUGGAGAGGUAAGUGGAAUUCCGAGUGUAGAGGUGAAAUUCGUAGAUAUCGAGAAGAACACCGGUGGCGAAGGCGGCCAUCUGGACGGUGACUGACGCUGAGACGCGAAAGCGUGGGGAGCAAACAGG
rnacentral:rRNA from 1 species